CGGCUGCGGUGGCUGCGGGACUGACGAAGUCUUGCUGUGUGGCCCAGGCUGGAGUGCCCGGCUGGUCUCAAAUUCCUGACCUCAAGUGAUCUCCCUCCCAAAGUGUUGCGAUUGCAGGUGUGAGCCACUGCACCUGGCUGCUGAGAAAUCUUUGCCUACAGUGAGGGAAACUACUAAAGUUCCUGGGGAAGCAAAGUAGAAUUUCAUAAGAACAAAAUGGGUCAGUUUGCUGAGAACGAAACCAAUGAGGUCAAUUUUAGAGAGAUACCUUCACAUGUGCUAUCGAAAGUAUGCAUGUAUUUUACGUACAAGGUUCGCUACACUAACAGCUCCACCGAGAUUCCUGAAUUCCCAAUUGCACCUGAAAUUGCACUGGAACUGCUGAUGGCUGCGAACUUCUUAGAUUGUUAAAUAAAAUAAAUUAUAAUAAACUGUUAACUCUUUUCAGUAUUUAAUACCUGUAGUUCAGUUAGUAACUUUUUCAUAUAUAGCAUGUUGCCUGUAUGCAGUUGAACUAUAUAAAGUUCAUUGCAAAGCAGAUUAUCUUGUUUUUUUGCAUAGCAAUCAAAGUUGAAAUUUGUUUGCUACAUCAACAAAUUAAGGACAUUUUCACAAACUGAGAAAUAAACAAAUAUGCCAAUU
rnacentral:lncRNA from 10 species